GAUGAACGCUAGCUACAGGCUUAACACAUGCAAGUCGCGGGGCAGCAUGGGGGUUGCUUGCAACCCCUGAUGGCGACCGGCGCACGGGUGAGUAACGCGUAUCCAACCUGCCCUUCACCACGGGAUAACCCGGCGAAAGUCGGACUAAUACCGUAUGUUGUCCAUUGACGGCAUCCGAUUUGGACGAAAGGCUUGGCGGUGACAGGAUGGGGAUGCGUCCGAUUAGUUUGACGGCGGGGUAACGGCCCACCGUGGCUACGAUCGGUAGGGGUUCUGAGAGGAAGGUCCCCCACACUGGAACUGAGACACGGUCCAGACUCCUACGGGAGGCAGCAGUGAGGAAUAUUGGUCAAUGGGCGUAAGCCUGAACCAGCCAAGUAGCGUGCAGGAUGACGGCCCUAUGGGUUGUAAACUGCUUUUAUGCGGGGAUAAAGUGGCCCACGUGUGGGCUUUUGCAGGUACCGCAUGAAUAAGGACCGGCUAAUUCCGUG
rnacentral:rRNA from 1 species